UUUAAAGUCUAAUCUGCCCAAUGAUAAGUUAAAUGGCCGCGGUAUUUUGACCGUGCAAAGGUAGCAUAAUCAUUAGUUUUUUAAUUGGAAGCUGGUAUGAACGAUUGGACGAGGGAAUGACUGUCUUUGUUUAAUUAGUUUGAAUUUUAUUUUUUAGUAAAAAAGCUGAGAUUAUUUUAAUAGACGAGAAGACCCUAUAGAGUUUUAUAUUUAUUAAUAUAUUUGUUUUGUAGAAAAUUUUUAUUGGUAUUUAUUUUAUAUUUUGUUGGGGCGAUAGAAAAAUUUAAUAAACUUUUUUUAAUAAAAAUCAUUAAUUUAUGAUUAUUUGAUCCAUAUUUUAUGAUUAUAAGAUUCAAUUACCUUAGGGAUAACAGCGUAAUUUUUUUUUAGAGUUCUAAUCGAAAAAAGAGUUUGCGACCUCGAUGUUGGAUUAAAAUUAACUUUUGGUGUAGGGGCUAAAUGGUUAGGUCUGUUCGACCUUUAAAAUUUUACAUGAUCUGAGUUUAGACCGGCGUGAGCCAGGUUGGUUUCUAUCUUUAAAAUUUAUAAGAUAUUUUAGUACGAAAGGAUCAAGUAUUUGAAAUAGUGGUUUUAUUUAGAAUAAAAUUAA
rnacentral:rRNA from 1 species